rnacentral:misc_RNA from 1 species
UUGGGUUCGUACCCAGGUAAACAAGCACAUUCAAAUGUAUUAACAUUGUUGGGUUCACACUUACUAUUAGCACCACACACUCCAUACCAGUCACACCGGUACUUUGGAGCCGACCAGAAAUCCAUCCAUUGAGCUUCCAUUUCGUGCCAUAUUAGCCACUUUACAAAUCCUGCUUCAUCCACAUACAUUCUUAUUAUAACAGAGGGAUCACUAUAACUAUAUCUGAAGUAUAUUUCGUCUUCUGUAUUUAAAAAGCUGUAGUUGUAAACAUUUGCUAUUGUUUUCCAUGGCCAUGGAACGCUGCGCCAGUAUUGAUUCGCACCUUUGUAUUGAAAGAACUGUGGUGAGCCACUUGGGUUUAGCCUAACCGAGUACUCCCCACUUCCAGGAUCAUCAGCUGAUCUCCAUGAUGUUAGGAACCUAUUCAGACCUGUUUUUUUGUCCAACCCAAAUUUCAUUCCUUGCAGCAGGGUGUUUGUAGGAUAAUCAAAGCUUUGCCACACAACUCUUUUACUUCUUUCUUGGAUCAAAACCAAGUUUCCUGAAUCCAAAAGCUGAGCUACACAAGUGCCUGUCAUUUCCACUGAAACAUUUGUUGACCACACAAGAAUUUUCUGUUUAAGGUUGCUAUACAGAAUGAGAUUUCCAUAUUGGUUAAUUGAUAGAACUCCUGAGGAGCCAUUGAUUGGAUCAUUCCUAUUUGCUACCCAAACGACAGUUUGCUCUCGAACUUUAUAGUACCAGAUUCCAAGAUAUCUAUACCUGGACCUUCCGGGGCUAAAAAAUCCUAAAGCAAAA